rnacentral:rRNA from 2 species
UUUGGGGGGGUGGGUAAUACAUGCAAGUCGAGCGGAUCGAUGGGAGCUUGCUCCCUGAGAUCAGCGGCGGACGGGUGAGUAACACGUGGGUAACCUGCCUGUAAGACUGGGAUAACUCCGGGAAACCGGGGCUAAUACCGGAUAACACCUACCCCCGCAUGGGGGAAGGUUGAAAGGUGGCUUCGGCUAUCACUUACAGAUGGACCCGCGGCGCAUUAGCUAGUUGGUGAGGUAACGGCUCACCAAGGCGACGAUGCGUAGCCGACCUGAGAGGGUGAUCGGCCACACUGGGACUGAGACACGGUCCAGACUCCUACGGGA